CAGGCUUAACACAUGCAAGUCGAGGGGCAGCAUGGUCUUAGCUUGCUAAGGCCGAUGGCGACCGGCGCACGGGUGAGUAACGCGUAUCCAACCUGCCUUACACUCUUGGACAGCCUUCUGAAAGGGAGAUUAAUACAAGAUGUUAUCAUGAGUAAGCAUUUUCGCAUGAUUAAAGGUUUACCGGUGUAAGAUGGGGAUGCGUUCCAUUAGAUAGUAGGCGGGGUAACGGCCCACCUAGUCUUCGAUGGAUAGGGGUUCUGAGAGGAAGGUCCCCCACAUUGGAACUGAGACACGGUCCAAACUCCUACGGGAGGCAGCAGUGAGGAAUAUUGGUCAAUGGACGAGAGUCUGAACCAGCCAAGUAGCGUGAAGGAUGAAGGUUCUAUGGAUUGUAAACUUCUUUUAUACGGGAAUAAACGAAUCCACGUGUGGAUUUUUGCAUGUACCGUAUGAAUAAGGAUCGGCUAACUCCGUGCCAGCAGCCGCGGUAAUACGGAGGAUCCGAGCGUUAUCCGGAUUUAUUGGGUUUAAAGGGAGCGUAGAUGGGUUGUUAAGUCAGUUGUGAAAGUUUGCGGCUCAACCGUAAAAUUGCAAUUGAUACUGGCAGUCUUGAGUACAGUUGAGGUAGGCGGAAUUCGUGGUGUAGCGGUGAAAUGCUUAGAUAUCACGAAGAACUCCGAUUGCGAAGGCAGCUUACUAACCUGUAACUGACAUUGAUGCUCGAAAGUGUGGGUAUCAAACAGGAUUAGAUACCCUGGUAGUCCACACGGUAAACGAUGAAUACUCGCUGUAGGCGAUAUACAGUCUGCGGCCAAGCGAAAGCAUUAAGUAUUCCACCUGGGGAGUACGCCGGCAACGGUGAAACUCAAAGGAAUUGACGGGGGCCCGCACAAGCGGAGGAACAUGUGGUUUAAUUCGAUGAUACGCGAGGAACCUUACCCGGGCUUAAAUUGCAACCGAAUAUGGCGGAAACGCUAUAGCUAGCAAUAGCGGUUGUGAAGGUGCUGCAUGGUUGUCGUCAGCUCGUGCCGUGAGGUGUCGGCUUAAGUGCCAUAACGAGCGCAACCCUUGCCGAUAGUUACUAACAGGUCAUGCUGAGGACUCUGUCGGGACUGCCAUCGUAAGAUGUGAGGAAGGUGGGGAUGACGUCAAAUCAGCACGGCCCUUACGUCCGGGGCUACACACGUGUUACAAUGGGGGGUACAGAGGGCUGCUACCACGCAAGUGGAUGCCAAUCCCAAAAACCUCUCUCAGUUCGGAUUGAAGUCUGCAACCCGACUUCAUGAAGCUGGAUUCGCUAGUAAUCGCGCAUCAGCCACGGCGCGGUGAAUACGUUCCCGGGCCUUGUACACACCGCCCGUCAAGCCAUGGGAGCCGGGGGUACCUGAAGUGCGUAACCGCAAGGAGCGCCCUAGGGUAAAACUGGUGACUGGGGCUAAGUCAUAAC
rnacentral:rRNA from 1 species